rnacentral:rRNA from 1 species
GACGAACGCUGACGGCGUGCUCAACACAUGCAAGUCGAACGGAAAGGCCCUGCUUUUGUGGGGUGCUCGAGUGGCGAACGGGUGAGUAACACGUGAGUAACCUGCCCUUGACUUUGGGAUAACUUCAGGAAACUGGGGCUAAUACCGGAUAGGAGCUCCUGCUGCAUGGUGGGGGUUGGAAAGUUUCGGCGGUUGGGGAUGGACUCGCGGCUUAUCAGCUUGUUGGUGGGGUAGUGGCUUACCAAGGCUUUGACGGGUAGCCGGCCUGAGAGGGUGACCGGCCACAUUGGGACUGAGAUACGGCCCAGACUCCUACGGGAGGCAGCAGUGGGGAAUAUUGCACAAUGGGCGGAAGCCUGAUGCAGCAACGCCGCGUGCGGGAUGACGGCCUUCGGGUUGUAAACCGCUUUCGCCUGUGACGAAGCGUGAGUGACGGUAAUGGGUAAAGAAGCACCGGCUAACUACGUG